CCUACGGGAGGCAGCAGUGGGGAAUAUUGCACAAUGGGGGAAACCCUGAUGCAGCGACGCCGCGUGAGUGAAGAAGUAUCUCGGUACGUAAAGCUCUAUCAGCAGGGAAGAAAAUGACGGUACCUGACUAAGAAGCCCCGGCGAACUACGUGCCAGCAGCCGCGGGAAUACGUAGGGGGCAAGCGUUAUCCGGAUUUACGGGGUGUAAAGGGAGCGUAGACGGCAGCACAAGUCUGGAGUGAAAUCGCGGGGCUUAACCACGGAACUGCUUUGGGAACUGUGCGGCUGGAGUGCAGGAGGGGUAAGCGGAAUUCCUAGUGUAGCGGUGAAAUGCGUAGAUAUUAGGAGGAACACCGGUGGCGAAGGCGGCUUACUGGACUGUAACUGACGUUGAGGCUCGAAAGCGUGGGGAGCAAACAGGAUUAGAUAGUAGUC
rnacentral:rRNA from 1 species